rnacentral:rRNA from 1 species
AGUGAACGCCGGCGGUAGGCCUAACACAUGCAAGUCGAACGGCAGCACAGUAAGAGCUUGCUCUUACGGGUGGCGAGUGGCGGACGGGUGAGGAAUACAUCGGAAUCUACUUUUUCGUGGGGGAUAACGUAGGGAAACUUACGCUAAUACCGCAUACGACCUACGGGUGAAGGCAGGGGAUCUUCGGACCUUGCGCGAUUGAAUGAGCCGAUGUCGGAUUAGCUAGUUGGCGGGGUAAAGGCCCACCAAGGCGACGAUCCGUAGCUGGUCUGAGAGGAUGAUCAGCCACACUGGAACUGAGACACGGUCCAGACUCCUACGGGAGGCAGCAGUGGGGAAUAUUGGACAAUGGGCGCAAGCCUGAUCCAGCCAUACCGCGUGGGUGAAGAAGGCCUUCGGGUUGUAAAGCCCUUUUGUUGGGAAAGAAAAGCAGCAGGUUAAUACCCCGCUGUUCUGACGGUACCCAAAGAAUAAGCACCGGCUAACUUCGUG